rnacentral:rRNA from 1 species
UACAGAGGUCUCAAGCGUUGUUCGGAUUCAUUGGGCGUAAAGGGUGCGUAGGUGGCAUGGUAAGUUGAAGGUGAAAUCUCGGGGCUCAACUCCGAAACUGCCUUCAAUACUGCUGUGCUCGAGGACUGUAGAGGAGAAUGGAAUUCACGGUGUAGCAGUGAAAUGCGUAGAUAUCGAGAGGAACACCUGCGGCGAAGGCGGGUUGCUGGGCUGACACUGACGCUGAUGCGCGAAAGCUAGGGGAGCGAACGGG